rnacentral:RNase_P_RNA from 2 species
GUCCUCAUCAACGCUGCGUUUCUAUGCUACAAACAGAUAUACUUGUUUACUCAAGUGUAUCAGGUCGCUUGCGAUCAAUUAUUUGCAUAUGAGAAAUUCGGAGUACUCUUCAAAAUUACCUGUUCCUUUUUCUUUGGACAAAGAUGAACAGGUCUGCCCGUGAGGGUUCGGCGUGAUUUCACGUCUGCAAUUGGCAUCAGAAAAGCAGGGCAUGGUCACUCUCUAUAUAUCAAAUCCGUAAGGAGGAGAGAAAAGAGUUGUGUGCUAUUGUUCCUAUGGGAGAGCCGUUGCGAAGAUUGUGUGUGCUGAGGCAUGACACUUAAGUGCAAUACGUGGCGUGCUAGACUUGUCAUUACUUCGGUGAUGACAAGUUGAGUACAAUUCGAUUCCGAUUACUCUGUUGAGGAC